CCCGGCAGCGGAACCGCUCCAAUUCGGGCCCUCAUCCGAGGACUCGUCGGGGCAACCCCAAAUGACCCGGAGAAGCCGUAGGGAGGUCCGGGGAGAGUUGUCUCUUCUCUAUAAGCGUUCGAGUUCCCUGGAAUCCUCUAGGAGGGAGAUAGGGUUUGGAACGCGAAGAGCACCGCACUUACGGCGGUGUCCGGAUCUUCCCCUCGGACCUUGAAAAUCCGGGCGAGGGCCACGAGGAACACCGCGCCGGCUCGUACCCAUAUCCGCAGCAGGUCUCCAAGGUGAAUAGCCUCUAGUCGAUAGAAUAAUGUAGGUAAGGGAAGUCGGCAAACCCGAUCUGUAACUUCGGGAUAAGGAUUGGCUCUGAGGAUCGUGGCGUGCCGGGCUUGGUCGGGAAGUGGAGCGGUGCCAACGUGCCGGGCCUGGGCGAGGUGAAGGGCGCUCGUCGCUCGGACCCUAGCUCGGUCCCGUGCCUUGGCCACCCACGGACCUUCCUUGCUGCGAGCCUCCCGGCUGUCAAGUUGCUGGGCUCGCCCAGUGGACGGGCCGGAAGGCUCUUCGGCCGCCAUAGAACGAUCAACUUAGAACUGGCACGGACCAGGGGAAUCCGA
rnacentral:rRNA from 1 species